GUGGGGAAUAUUGGACAAUGGGGGGAACCCUGAUCCAGCCAUGCCGCGUGUGUGAAGAAGGCCUUAUGGUUGUAAAGCACUUUAAGCGAGGAGGAGGCUACUGAGACUAAUACUCUUGGAUAGUGGACGUUACUCGCAGAAUAAGCACCGGCUAACUCUGUGCCAGCAGCCGCGGUAAUACAGAGGGUGCGAGCGUUAAUCGGAUUUACUGGGCGUAAAGCGUGCGUAGGCGGCUUUUUAAGUCGGAUGUGAAAUCCCCGAGCUUAACUUGGGAAUUGCAUUCGAUACUGGGAAGCUAGAGUAUGGGAGAGGAUGGUAGAAUUCCAGGUGUAGCGGUGAAAUGCGUAGAGAUCUGGAGGAAUACCGAUGGCGAAGGCAGCCAUCUGGCCUAAUACUGACGCUGAGGUACGAAAGCAUGGGGAGCAAACAGGAUUAGAUACCCUGGUAGUCCAUGCCGUAAACGAUGUCUACUAGCCGUUGGGGCCUUUGAGGCUUUAGUGGCGCAGCUAACGCGAUAAGUAGACCGCCUGGGGAGUACGGUCGCAAGACUAAAACUCAAAUGAAUUGACGGGGGCCCGCACAAGCGGUGGAGCAUGUGGUUUAAUUCGAUGCAACGCGAAGAACCUUACCUGGCCUUGACAUACUAGAAACUUUCCAGAGAUGGAUUGGUGCCUUCGGGAAUCUAGAUACAGGU
rnacentral:rRNA from 1 species